rnacentral:rRNA from 1 species
UGGGGAAUAUUGCACAAUGGGCGCAAGCCUGAUGCAGCCAUGCCGCGUGUAUGAAGAAGGCCUUCGGGUUGUAAAGUACUUUCAGCGGGGAGGAAGGUGUUGAGGUUAAUAACCUCAGCAAUUGACGUUACCCGCAGAAGAAGCACCGGCUAACUCCGUGCCAGCAGCCGCGGUAAUACGGAGGGUGCAAGCGUUAAUCGGAAUUACUGGGCGUAAAGCGCACGCAGGCGGUCUGUCAAGUCGGAUGUGGAAUCCCCGGGCUCAACCUGGGAACUGCAUUCGAAACUGGCAGGCUAGAGUCUUGUAGAGGGGGGUAGAAUUCCAGGUGUAGCGGUGAAAUGCGUAGAGAUCUGGAGGAAUACCGGUGGCGAAGGCGGCCCCCUGGACAAAGACUGACGCUCAGGUGCGAAAGCGUGGGGAGCAAACA